GACAGAGAUUUUAUGGUGACUGAG
rnacentral:piRNA from 1 species